rnacentral:rRNA from 1 species
CAGUAGCCGCGGGAAUACGAAGGGUGCAAGCGUUAAUCGGAAUUACUGGGCGUAAAGCGUGCGUAGGCGGUUUGUUAAGUCUGUUGUGAAAUCCCCGGGCUCAACCUGGGAAUGGCAAUGGAUACUGGCAAGCUAGAGUGUGUCAGAGGAUGGUGGAAUUCCCGGUGUAGCGGUGAAAUGCGUAGAGAUGUGGAGGAACACCGAUGGCGAAGGCAGCCCCCUGGGCCAAUACUGACGCUCAUGCACGAAAGCGUGGGGAGCAAACAGGAUUAGAUACCCGAGUAGUCCCUGUCUCUUAUAU